rnacentral:rRNA from 1 species
CCCUUAGAUGUCCUGGGCCGCACGCGCGCUACACUGACAUGUUCAACAAGUUUCUCCUAGUUCGACAGGACUGGGAAAUCUUUGAACGCAUGUCGUGAUAGGGAUAGAUCAUUGCAAUUAUUGAUCUUGAACGAGGAAUUCCUAGUAAACGCGAGUCAUCAGCUCGCAUUGAUUACGUCCCUGCCCUUUGUACACACCGCCCGUCGCACCUACCGAUUGAAUGUUUCGGUGAAGAUUCCGGAUAGGACUGAUUUGAUUUAUUUCAUUUCUGACCUAAAAGCUGUCUAAACCUCAACAUUUAGAGGAAGGUGAAGUCGUAACA